UGUCCCCCAGGAGUGUCCCUGUGCCCCUCCAGGCUCCCCGCUGCUCUCCAUGGACGGUGUUUUCCUGUCUCCCAGCGAGGAUGAGUUUGUGGGCAGGAUCGUGGAGGAGCUGGAGCAGUUCCUGCUGCAGGGGCAGCACCAGCGGGUGCUCCUGUUCCCGCCCCUGCCCAGCCGCCUCAGGUACCUGAUCCAUCGGACCGUGGAAAACAUGGAAUUGUUGAGCAGCUUCUCGGUGGGAGAGGGCUGGAGGAGGAGGACAGUCAUUUGUCACUCGGCAGUCAGGCUUCCCAACGAGACCACGAGCGACCAAAAACCUGGGGCCAACCCUCGGCCGCAGCGGCCAGUGCAGCCCUGGGGCCGGGGGGGGCGGGGGGCCCGGCCGCGCCACCCCGGGGACACCCAUGGUGACAAUUCCCGUGCUGCUGUGGGCUCGGGCAGGAUCACCAGGCCGACCAGGAGGAAGCCAGACAAAGCCCUGUACGUGCCCAAAGGGAUCCGGAAAAAGGCGAAUUGGAGGGAGCGGGAGAGCCCCGGGGUGGAGCAGGAUGGGGACGCCGCUCCAGGAGGUGAAAACUUCCCCAAAAAUUCCAUCGGGGAUGCCCAGCAGGAGGCAGGCAAGGAUGGAGGCAGCCCCGGGAAGCAGCAGGAGCCUGAGGAGGAGAAUGUUCCAGAAAAAGAUGGUGCUGAGCAUCCUCUGUGUGAGGAAGAGGAGGCAUCCCUAGGGAAUAGCAAGGAUUCCUGCGAGCAGGAAUGUCGGGAUAAAGACUGUUCCCAUUCCCCGUCUUCUGGACACAACAAACACCCACCCAAAGAGCGAGAGCCAGGCCGUGCCAAUGCAGUCAUUCCAGAAGGCAGCGAAUUCCAAGAGGAAAACCCUCAGAGCUGCGAUUCCAGAGGGUCGGAGCACGGGAAAGGCUCCUUCCCUUUGGAAAACCACGGUGUCAGCCACACAGAGGUUUUCAGAGCGGCAGAGUCCCCGGUGCUGGAAAUCCAGAGCCUGGAGAGCGGCAGGAACGAAUCCCCCCCUGGAGACCGGGAUUCCAGAAACACCAAGGACGGAGGCCGGAGCUUUUCCACGCUGGAGAGCCCUGGCACUGCCCAGGGGGAGCAGAAACGUCUCCAGAAUGUUCCAGAACUUCCAGCGUUCCAGAACGUUGUGGGAGGCCCACGUGAGGCUCCGGCUGCUCCCGAGCCGUCCUGUGGCGGCGAUGCCGGCGCUCCAGCGCAGAUCCGAGGCAGGAUGGAGGAGGAGGAGGACAAGGAGCACUCGGAUGUGGCCGAGGCACUGUGGAAGGGCCUGGAUUUGGCUGCAGGGGACAGAGAGGGGACGAGGCAGAGCGGCCUCGAGGAUGACUGCACAGCAGAGCUCCUGGCAGAGAUUGUUGGGAAUUUGACAGUGAAGGACAUCAGCAUCGAGAGGAUCAGCGUGGAUUAUUGCGGCUACGGAGAGGCCCAGGUCUGCGAGGGGGACUUGGGCCAUGUCACUGAGAUCUACGACUUCCCCUCAUCCCUGAGAACCGAGGAUCUGAUGGGAAUAUUCUCUGAUUUCCACGAGAGCGGCUUCAAAAUCCAGUGGGUGGAUGAUACCCACGCCCUGGGAAUCUUUUCCAGCCUCUCCACAGCAUCCCAAGCCCUGGGCCGCCGUUAUCCCUGCCUGAAGAUCCGGCCCCUGAUCCACGCCACCAAACAAUCCAAGAUCAAGGCCCUGCAGAGACCAAAUUGAUCAGGUCCAGUUGCCACAGGAAAGCAAAGCCACGAACCUCAGCAGCAGCAGAGACCCUGAACCAACAAUUCCUGGGAUUUUCCAGCUUGCUGCAGUCAGAAUCAAUUCCAAUUUUAACCCUUUCAAGGGACACUGUCACAAAUUCCCCAGUUUGCAGCACUGCUGGAUGGAAAGGAAACAUCCAAAAAUUUGCUUUAUUUGCAUCUCCCCUUCAUCUGUUUUUUUCAUUUAUUCUCUCUUCUGAAUCUGGUUAAAUUAAAGAACUUCUCCAUCUGGGAAAAGAGAGGCCGCAGACGGACACGGCCGUGGCCAGGAGACUCGUGUCCCACGCCCUGGGCUGGAAGCAGAGGCAGCAGGAAGCCGCAGGGACU